rnacentral:rRNA from 1 species
GGAGUCUAGCAUGUGCGCGAGUCAUUGGGACAUGACUAAACCUAAAGGCGCAAUGAAAGUGAAAGUCCGCCUUGCGCGGACUCAGGGAGGAUGGGUGGUCGUUACGGCUGCCGCCCCGCACUCCCGGGGCGUCUCGUUCUCAUUGCGAGAAGAGGCGCACCAAGAGCGUACACGCUGGGACCCGAAAGAUGGUGAACUAUGCCUGGUCAGGACGAAGUCAGGGGAAACCCUGAUGGAGGUCCGUAGCGAUUCUGACGUGCAAAUCGAUCGUCGGAACUGGGUAUAGGGGCGAAAGACUAAUCGAACCAUCUAGUAGCUGGUUCCCUCCGAAGUUUCCCUCAGGAUAGCUGGCGCUCAUAGCGCACGAGUUUCAUCCGGUAAAGCGAAUGAUUAGAGGCAUUGGGGUCGAAACGGCCUCAACCUAUUCUCAAACUUUAAAUGGGUGAGAUCUCCGGCUUGCUCGAACUAUUGAAGCCGCGAGACUCGAAUCAGAGUGCCAAGUGGGCCAUUUUUGGUAAGCAGAACUGGCGCUGUGGGAUGAACCAAACGCCGAGUUAAAGCGCCUAAAUCGACGCUUAUGGGAUACCAUGAAAGGCGUUGGUAACUUAAGACAUCAGGACGGUGGCCAUGGAAGUC